rnacentral:rRNA from 1 species
GACGAACGCUGGCGGCGCGCCUAACACAUGCAAGUCGAACGAGCGAGAGAGAGCUUGCUUUCUCCAGCGAGUGGCGAACGGGUGAGUAACGCGUGAGGAACCUGCCUCAAAGAGGGGGACAACAGUUGGAAACGACUGCUAAUACCGCAUAAGCCCACAGGUCGGCCUCGACCAGAGGGAAAAGGAGCAAUCCGCUUUGAGAUGGCCUCGCGUCCGAUUAGCUAGUUGGUGAGGUAACGGCCCACCAAGGCAACGAUCGGUAGCCGGACUGAGAGGUUGAACGGCCACAUUGGGACUGAGACACGGCCCAGACUCCUACGGGAGGGAGCAGUGGGGAAUAUUGCACAAUGGGGGAAACCCUGAUGCAGCGACGCCGCGUGGAGGAAGAAGGUCUUCGGAUUGUAAACUCCUGUUGUUGAGGAAGAUAAUGACGGUACUCAACAAGGAAGUGACGGCUAACUACGUG